GGAAGUAAAAAGUCGUAACAAGGUCUCCGUUGGUGAACCAGCGGAGGGAUCAUUACUGAGUUUACGCUCUACAACCCUUUGUGAACAUACCUAUAACUGUUGCUUCGGCGGGUAGGGUCUCCGCGACCCUCCCGGCCUCCCGCCUCCGGGCGGGUCGGCGCCCGCCGGAGGAUAACCAAACUCUGAUUUAACGACGUUUCUUCUGAGUGGUACAAGCAAAUAAUCAAAACUUUUAACAACGGAUCUCUUGGUUCUGGCAUCGAUGAAGAACGCAGCGAAAUGCGAUAAGUAAUGUGAAUUGCAGAAUUCAGUGAAUCAUCGAAUCUUUGAACGCACAUUGCGCCCGCCAGCAUUCUGGCGGGCAUGCCUGUUCGAGCGUCAUUUCAACCCUCAAGCUCUGCUUGGUGUUGGGGCCCUACAGCCGAUGUAGGCCCUCAAAGGUAGUGGCGGACCCUCCCGGAGCCUCCUUUGCGUAGUAACUUUACGUCUCGCACUGGGAUCCGGAGGGACUCUUGCCGUAAAACCCCCCAAUUUUCCAAAGGUUGACCUCGGAUCAGGUAGGAAUACCCGCUGAACUUAAGCAUAUCAAUAAGCGGAGGA
rnacentral:rRNA from 1 species